rnacentral:rRNA from 1 species
UUGCACGCUGGCGGCAGGCCUCACACAUGCAAGUCGAGCGGAUGAAGGGAGCUUGCUCCUGGAUUCAGCGGCGGACGGGUGAGUAAUGCCUAGGAAUCUGCCUGGUAGUGGGGGAUAACGUCCGGAAACGGGCGCUAAUACCGCAUACGUCCUGAGGGAGAAAGUGGGGGAUCUUCGGACCCCACGCUAUCAGAUGAGCCUAGGUCGGAUUAGCUAGUUGGUGGGGUAAAGGCCUACCAAGGCGACGAUCCGUAACUGGUCUGAGAGGAUGAUCAGUCACACUGGAACUGAGACACGGUCCAGACUCCUACGGGAGGCAGCAGUGGGGAAUAUUGGACAAUGGGCGAAAGCCUGAUCCAGCCAUGCCGCGUGUGUGAAGAAGGUCUUCGGAUUGUAAAGCACUUUAAGUUGGGAGGAAGGGCAGUAAGUUAAUACCUUGCUGUUUUGACGUUACCAACAGAAUAAGCACCGGCUAACUUCGUG